AUACUUACCUGGCGUGGAGGCUACCUUGAUCAAGAAGGAGGUUCCUCCAGGGUGAGGCCCUUCCAUUGCA
rnacentral:snRNA from 11 species